UAGUCCCUUUACUUUGAUUAAGGUCUGUUUGAUUGGUGUAAAAUAUUUUUCGGAAAAUAUUUUCCGAAAUUUUCAGUGUUUGUUUUGUGUAAAAUGAAUUCUAAUAGGAAAACAUUUUACAAACACGGGUAAAAUUCAAAGCUUUUUUUUGGAAAUUGUCUUACCCAUUUCUCUACCGUAAGACAUUUUCCUUUCUCCUUUUCUCUUCUAAGCAAAUUUUCUUCCACAUCUUCAUCUCCGUUCAUCACCUCCCCUCACCAUCUCCGUCCGUCAUCUCCAUCGACCGUCGGCAUUACUUCUAUUUUGAAGAAACCGUCAUCUCUGUCAUCAACAGCUAUUGGAGUUUGACGAGUUGAAGACUGCGGUUACGUCUGAAGAUGGUAGUGAUGACAAAUCCAGCAAGAAGGUUGAAUGAGUUAGAAGCAGAAACCCUUACACUGAAACCAUUUUAUUUUAGCUUUGAGAAGGAUAUAGUGUUCACUUUUAGUACUACUAAUUAUGUAUUUGGAUAAUAUUAUUAAUUUCUAGUACUCAUUGUGGUUUCAAAGCAAUUUAUAAUUAUUCAAUACUUUUUUUUUAACAAAA